rnacentral:lncRNA from 7 species
AUAGAUGCAUGAAGUCAGCUGCUGAGCCCAGUAGUAGCAUGAGAAGAACUUGAAAGAGGAGAAUUUGAUGACCACGACCUUAUCCUUUUCUGCUGCUUCUCUGUUGCUGCCCAUGCACAUCCCCUGAUGCACAGUCUUCUUUCUCUCUCCACAAACACAGACACGAAUUCUCUCUAGUUUCUCCAGGGGGUGAUAACAGCAAGGCUCCUUCCCUCUGGAAACAUAUACAAUUUUGCUGGAGUAAUAAAAACACCAAAGAGGAGAACCGGCAGCAGACACAGGACUGGUUUGAUUUUAUUUUCUCACCUCUGUGGAGAGCGAAGCAGUAAAAUCUUUCAAGAGGCCUGCGUCUGGGUAUCCCGCUGCUGCCUUCAGCCCCAUCUCCUGAGCAGUAGGAGUGGUGGCUUCGCAGCCUUUUCAAGUUAUUCAGAAUCAGUUUCCAGUGUGCAAAUGUUAUCUAGAAGCAUGAAGACAGCUCUGGGAAAAGAAACAGCUUUGCAUCAACAUGAGACACAGCUCAUAUUCUCUUUUACAUGAGGAUGUAACUAGCUCUGUUUUACCUGACGUGAAUGUAAAUUGAUUUUCCUCCUCGUUCCCAUGAUGAAUUAUCUUCCUCAAGCUGUGCUACUGAGUGGUCAGAAAACACAGAAAGAAUGUGUCAGGAGCUUGAAGAAGAAGCAAAAGUAAGUUGCAAAAUAUGAAAAGAAUGGUUCCCCUAUUUAGUGGACAGAAAAAAAAAAAAGUGCCAUAGGAUGGAUGGAUGCAAUGCAUACCUGUAAUCCCUUUCUAAAACACAGAGUGUCUUUACUGGAAAUGUUAGAGGAAAAUAACCCCUGUUCCUUGGAAAUCAAACCAAACUCAUGUCAAAGCAGAUGUUCUGAAGCAUGUAGUUGAGCCACUUAGAACAGCAAGAGUGUACCACAGAAGGCUGCCAUCAGUGUGUAAGUGGUGCGUUUCCCUAGAGGAAUAUUCUGCUGUUCCAUGCCAGCUAGUAUUUUCCUGUGCUGGUUUCUGGAUGUAGCAUUCUGUCGUGUCAUUGCAGUUUUUCUGUUAAAAACAGUAGGGCUCAUAAUCCUUCCUUGUGGGAAUAUUGUUAUCCACUUGGUGUAUUCCUUUGGAAAGUGGGAAAGAAAUUUGGAUCAUUAUCUUUGGCCAGAUUGCCUUCAGAGAUUAUUUGGGAUAUCAUUGGGAAUAUUUCCAGAGGAAACCAGUAUUCUGCUGUAUUCCAUAGGUACUCUCUAUAGUUUUAUCUCCUAAGCACAGUGUGGUUUUGUGAUCUCUGGAUCAAUACUGGAAAUUAAGGCUACCUCAGUUAUCUAUUUUUAAAAGUCUUCUCUUCAAGCAAAGUGGCUUGUCCAUCUUCAUGAUUGCAGUAGGAAAUGCUUCUGCAGCUCACAUUCACCACAUCAGCUGCCAGCGUUCAACAGUCCCUGACUUUUUGAUGUCAGAAAGGAGGAGUUUAUAAAUGGAUUGUGCUAUUAUUUUGUCUUUCACAUUUACAGCAGUUCAAUGACAGUGAUCGAACUCUAUCCAAACACAGUCUGACGAUCGCUAUGAGACUGGAAGUAUGGUAAAUAUAAAAAAUAUAAAGAAAAGUAACAGUAUGUUCACUUUUCAACCAAUAAACAAAUAUAGCCAAAGAAACUCUCUGAAGUAUCUGGAAGAAAUAGAGAGAACAGAAAUCAGGAUGGAUUUUUUAUUUAUAGCAAUGGCAAUGUGAACAGAACAUGUGGAAAAAUCAGAACACAAGAAGGAGAAAAGGAGCCAUGAUGUUAAAGCCAGAUUCUUCAGAUAGCAAGUGUAUAUGUGACUGAGAACCUGGCAGGAAGUGGUUCUCAACAAAAUACUGGUUCUGUGUGGGAAACAGUGGAGAAAUCCAUGGAUGGACAUUCGGAUCCAAAACUGUGUUGGGGAACCAUAUGCCGGUACCAUUCUACUCCAAAAAGUAACUUUGUGAAAGAAAUUUCAAAACAGCACCGUUUCCAUACCUGACAGGGAAAAGCUGUUGUCUCCAGGUAGACAGCUGUGCUCAGGCAGACUUGUUGCAUUAGUGCU